CUUUGUGGCUGGAGGGGGGGUUUUCUGGUGGGUGGGCGCCUGGGGUUUUUCCCAUUUAGCUGGAACUGCUUAUUAACCAGUGUCUCUUCUCUUUUUCUCUUCUCUGCACUGCCCCGGGAUGGAUUGUGGUGCCUCCCCUGCCUGGUCUGCCCGGCUGUCUCAUCGCUGGAGGGAAAAUCGCCCUGGUGGGGUGGAUUCUCAGGGUUUCCAGCAGAGGUUUGGUGCCUGAACCUGCACCUGGCUGCGAGGUGCUGUUUGUGUGUUAAAGCUUCUCAAAAUAAGGACACAGUCACCCUCCUGAUUAUCGCUGUGUGACAAGAAUCACAGAGUUGGAAGGAACCUCAAGGAUCAUCUACUCCAACCUUUACUGGCCCAAAGCAAGGUCUAGACAAGAUGGCUCAGCACCCUGCCCAGCU